rnacentral:tRNA from 1 species
ACUUUUAAAGGAUAACAGAAAUCCAUUGGUCUUAGGAACCAAAAACCUUGGCUCAAUACCAAGUAAAAGCA